ACCCAUGUGAACUUAUCAUAUUGUUGCCUCGGCGUAGCUGGGGAGACAUGGACCUUUCACCUAGUGAUUGGGACGUUUCUUCAGCCGCCGGUGGACAAACCAAACUCUGUUUUUAUUGAAUCUCUGAGUGAUUAUUAAAUAAAUCAAAACUUUCAACAACGGAUCUCUUGGUUCUGGCAUCGAUGAAGAACGCAGCGAAAUGCGAUAAGUAAUGUGAAUUGCAGAAUUCAGUGAAUCAUCGAAUCUUUGAACGCACAUUGCGCCCAUUAGUAUUCUAGUGGGCAUGCCUGUUCGAGCGUCAUUUCAACCCCUAAGCCUAGCUUAUUGUUGGGAGGCUGCGGUAAAACGCACCUCCUCAAAGUCAGUGGCGGAGAGACAGUGUCCUCUGAGCGUAGUAAAUCUUUUUCUCGCUUUUGUCAGGUGCAGUCCCCCUUGCCAUUAAACACCCAAUUUCUAAUGGUUGACCUCGGAUCAGGUAGGAAUACCCGCUGAACUUAAGCAUAUCAAUAAGCGGAGGAAAAGAAACCAACAGGGAUUCCCCUAGUAACGGCGAGUGAAGCGGGAACAGCUCAAAUUUGAAAUCUGGCACUUGUGUCCGAGUUGUAAUUUGUAGAGGAUGAUUUUGGCGCGGUGCCUUCCGAGUUCCCUGGAACGGGACGCCUUAGAGGGUGAGAGCCCCGUACGGUUGGACACCAAGCCUUUGUAAAUCUCCUUCGACGAGUCGAGUAGUUUGGGAAUGCUGCUCAAAAUGGGAGGUACAUUUCUUCUAAAGCUAAAUAUUGGCCAGAGACCGAUAGCGCACAAGUAGAGUGAUCGAAAGAUG
rnacentral:rRNA from 1 species